rnacentral:lncRNA from 1 species
GGGAUAGGGUCAUUCCUGCCAGCAGAGGGUUUGACCCUUAGUAGCAAUCCUUGAAUUAUAGAACUAUGUAGCCAGCAUACGUUGAGAUACCCUCCUUCUUGAUUAGGGUUGAUACAUCUUGUAUGAGUUUUCCUGUUAGUGAGGGUUGAAGAAAGAGCUUCUUGUAAAAGAGGGUUAACUCAUAGUUGUCUUUACCCAUGGCACGGUACUGACACC